GAGAGAAAAUGACUUCUUCCUCUUCAGAGGAUGAUGUACAAACUUGACAAUGUCUUUCUUUCUUUCUUUUUUAAAUUUGCCAUCCGUCAAGGUCGUUCCUGUUGCGUUUUAGUAAGCUUAUUUUUGUCUCGCUCGCCUCGCAGUUGGAUGUCAGGAGAUUUUAAUCUCUUAAUAACACUAUUAUCACAGUCUCUCUACACUGGCGACCUAGCAUGAUGAAGACUCUCCUAGUCCUUGGGACUGGUUCUUGCUGUGACUCCGGCGAGGACGUCACAAGGCCGACUGUUGGAAUACUACAACAGCAUCAGCAAGUCCACCAGCAGUGGCUUCCGCAGAGCUCAGUGUCUCACUACAGACCGCUCCGGAAUUGCACCGUGUGACACGGAUCCUAUGUGCUGCCUGAAGGACAGUCCACGAAUCCCUGGUUCGGACUACUGCUGUCCGCCCUUCACCACACAGUAUCAGUUCAAGUCCGAGGAAGGCCUUAUCUGCGCAUGCGCCCUGUAACUGUGUAAACCAACGGUUCGUUCGUCGAGAAAAUCGUCUCAUGAUCAACAACUCUGUUUGCGGCGAACCAACUAACUGGAGGCAGACGCUUUUAUUGUUCUGCAGAGAUAUCGAUAUGGAUGAGUUAUAGUCAAGCAUCUGUCCAGAUUAUAUUUUCACAGUUUCAGUUGUUUUUUUUUUGUUUGUUUUGUUUUUUUAUAAUUUUUGUGGGGAGGGUGAGAGAGGAGCAAUCCAUCUUUUAUUAAAGAGUCUUUGUCCUGCAAAUUCGUUUCUUUUUGUUGGUAAUUGUAUUUUAAUGUGAUUACCUUACACUCAAGAAAAUUAUUCGCAUUGACAUUCUGGUUAUUCAACAAUCAGUAAAGUAGAUUAGUAAAAAAUUAACUUUGAUUUUAAAAUUUGUAUUGAAUGAAAUAAAAAUGCAUUAAAUGAUG